rnacentral:misc_RNA from 1 species
GUCCGUACUACACCGAAGGCGCCAAGACCUACGGCUUCGAAAUCGCCGAGUAGCUCGGCUUGACCUUGCCCCAGCACACGAUCGUCCCCACCGCAGGCGGAACGAUCCUCCCGAAGAUCUACAAGGCGUACCAGGAACUCAUCACCCUCGGCUUGGUCGAAGACAACGGCCCCAGGAUCUAUUCCGCCCAGGCCGCCGGCUGCAAUCCGGUCGUCACCGCGAUCCACAAAGGCAGCGACAUCGUCGAGCCGCAGAAGCCGAACACGAUUGCCAAGAGCAUCGCGAUCGGUAACCCCGCUGAUGGGUAUUACGCCGUGCAGGUUGUGCAGGAGAGCAAGGGCUGGGGCGAAAGCGCCAGCGAUCGCGAGAUCGUCGAUGCGAUCAAGCUGCUCGCCGCGACCGAAGGGAUCUGGACCGAACCCGCCGGCGGUACGACGUUGGCCGCCGCCAUCAAGUUGAUCCAGCAGGGCCGGAUUCCCAAGGACGAAUCGAUCGUCAUCAGCAUCACCGGCAAUGGCCUCAAGACGCAGGAAGUCAUCGCCGAGGAACUGCCCUACCCGAAGGUGAUCGAUGCGAAGCUGAGCGAGUUCGAUGCGCUGUUGGCGGAGACUGGAAAGUCGGUCGAGGUGACGACUGCAACGGCCCGAGCUGCCUCCAAAGCAACGCCGGUCAUUGCUUAACCUCUCGCGCGCGAACCGGAGGGAUGUUCCCAAUUGUUCCGUUGGGUUUGUUUUGCACAACCGACGUUUCGGUAAUCUCCCGUCAACUCCGGUAAACCUGUGUCAACUGCCGUCAACCACGUCUCAACUGCGCUGCGCGGUUGAGACGAUUUUUUCUGGAUCGGGCAUCCUCGGGCAUUUUCGGGCA